GAUACUGGAUCAAAAGUAGGAACACUGCUUAUAAAGAUUAAUCAAUACUUAAUAAUGUGCUUAUUAAUCUUUAUAAGCAGUGUUCCUACUUUAGAUCCAGUACCUG